UGUGUUUGUAUUUACAUAUUUGCGUGGAACCCGUACUCGUGUGUGAAAUGUUCAGAGGAAAACUAAAGGCAGUGAUAUGUCUUCGGUACCGGUGUGUGUGAUCGUCUGCCGGUUCUAUCCUCAGUCGCUGUCACAUUC